AAUAACGCUAAUUGUAGAUAUUGAAAAUGACAACAAAAAUGACCGGUAUAAAUAGAGGAUCUUCAUACAAAAACAACAGUUAACCGUUGAAAUUGUGUACAUAGAAAUGCGUUUCGAAAUAGAGAUUUGUUUUUCUAUCUUAUUAAUAAUCGCAACUAAAAACAUCCAAACGAUUGCGUCCCCGAUUUUUACUGGCUUAGAAAACAGAAAUUUAAGCAAUUCAAGUGUAUUCAAAAAUCAUUUUAUAUCACACCCAUUAAUGUUUCGUGAUUUGCCAUCCACUAAAUAUGAUUUUAAGGAGGAACAACAAAAACGUAUGCUACUAUUUAAAUCAGAAAACAUCAAGAUUAAUGGAAUAAAAUGUGUAGAUCAAACACAAAGUUAUUAUUCUAUUUGGAAAAGUAAACGACUAUCUAAAUUUGUGAUAUGUGUGAUAUAUAUUUUUGCUGCAUUACUAAUUGCUUUAAUAAUUUUGUGUUGUAAAUAUACAGUGAGAUCAAAACGUAAACAGAAACCGAUCAAACCGAUCGUUUUAUCUUCAGAUCGCCGAUAUCAACUUGUUUAUAACUUGUAAUAAAAUAAUGAUAAAAAAAAUCGAAAUAAAGCAAAUUUAAUAAAGAUUUGGUGUGCCAAAAA